rnacentral:misc_RNA from 1 species
GCUUAAAAUCUUUAGACAGUCCUCAAUGAGAAGAAGAGCUGCAGCAUUAACGGAUAUUCAGCCUCUGAAGAAGCAGAGAGUCUUUUGAUUCUAUUGCUUUUUACUGUCAGUAAUCAGUUCAAUAGCAGUUGAAACUUGAAAGGAUAGAUCUCAGAGUUCCUCAUUACAAACAAAGGCAGCAUAACCUUCCACUGCAGAUUCUAGUUACUUGUAGUUCUGGUGCUGUAGUAGCUGGGAUUCAACAUUUGAGAAG